UAAGGAAUAUUGGUCAAUGGACGCAAGUCUGAACCAGCCAUGCCGCGUGAAGGAUUAAGGCCCUCUGGGUUGUAAACUUCUUUUAUAGGGGAAGAAAUGUGACGGUUCUCCGUCACUUGACGGUACCCUGGGAAUAAGCACCGGCUAACUUCGUGCCAGCAGCCGCGGUAAUACGAAGGGUGCAAGCGUUACUCGGAAUUACUGGGCGUAAAGCGUGCGUAGGCGGUUCGUUAAGUCCGUUGUGAAAGCCCUGGGCUCAACCUGGGAAUUGCAGUGGAUACUGGCGAGCUAGAGUACGGUAGAGGAUGGUGGAAUUCCCGGUGUAGCGGCGAAAUGCGUAGAGAUCGGGAGGAACACCCGUGGCGAAGGCGGCCAUCUGGACCAGUACUGACGCUGAGGCACGAAAGCGUGGGGAGCAAACA
rnacentral:rRNA from 1 species